ACUACGGGAGGCAGCAGUGGGGAAUAUUGCACAAUGGGGGAAACCCUGAUGCAGCGACGCCGCGUGAGUGAAGAAGUAUUUCGGUAUGUAAAGCUCUAUCAGCAGGGAAGAAGAAAGACGCUACCUGACUAAGAAGCCCCGGCUAACUACGUGCCAGCAGCCGCGGUCAUACGUAGGGGGCAAGCGUUAUCCGGAUUUACUGGGUGUAAAGGGAGCGUAGACGGCUGUGCAAGUCUGAAGUGAAAGUCCAGGGCUCAACCCUGGGACUGCUUUGGAAACUGUGGAGCUAGAGUGCUGGAGAGGUAAGUGGAAUGCGUAGUGUAGCGGUGAAAUGCGUAGAUAUUAGGAGGAACACCAGUGGCGAAGGCGGCUUACUGGACAGUAACUGACGUUGAGGCUCGAAAGCGUGGGGAGCAAACAGGAUUAGAUACCCCAGUAGUC
rnacentral:rRNA from 1 species